rnacentral:misc_RNA from 1 species
GAAAUGCGAUAAGUAAUGUGAAUUGCAGAAUUCAGUGAAUCAUCGAAUCUUUGAACGCACAUUGCGCCCGCCAGUAUUCUGGCGGGCAUGCCUGUUCGAGCGUCAUUUCAACCAUCAAGCCCCGGGCUUGUGUUGGGGCCCUGCGGCUGCCGCAGGCCCCAAAAACCAGUGGCGGGCUCGCUGUCACACCGAGCGUAGUAGUUACCACCUCGCUCCGGGCGUGCCGCGGGUUCCGGCCGUUAAACCCCCCACUUUCCAAAGGUUGACCUCGGAUCAGGUAGGAGUACCCGCUGAACUUAAGC